rnacentral:rRNA from 1 species
UACGUAGGUGGCAAGCGUUGUCCGGAUUUACUGGGCGUAAAGAGCGCGCAGGCGGUCGAUUUAGUCGCGUGUGAAAGCCCCCGGCUCAACUGGGGAGGGUCACGCGAUACUGAUCGACUCGAAGGCAGGAGAGGGUAGUGGAAUUCCCGGUGUAGUGGUGAAAUGCGUAGAUAUCGGGAGGAACACCAGUGGCGAAGGCGGCCAGCUGGGCCGUCCCUGACGCUGAGGCGCGAAGGCGUGGGGAGCGAACGGG